GCCCGGGUGGUGGAAUUGGUAGACACAAGGGAUUUAAAAUCCCUCGACUUCUGGUCGUGCGGGUUCAAGUCCCGCCCCGGGCA
rnacentral:tRNA from 1 species